rnacentral:ncRNA from 1 species
AACCUCGCCUCUUGGCGAAAAAUAAACUAAAGGCUAAGGUACUGGUAGACCGUGCAUCGGGCCGAAGGUAACGAGGUCAGAAGAAAAAGCAGACAA